UGGUCCAAAGGUAGUGAGUUAUCUCAGUUGACUGUUCACAGUCAGUUACACAUCAAACUCCUUGUUCUACUCUUUCCCCUCUUCUCACUACUGCUGUUGUCUAAAAACUUUU
ensembl:Y_RNA Y_RNA Y RNA